rnacentral:rRNA from 1 species
CCCUUAGAUGUCCGGGGCCGCACGCGCGCUACACUGAAGGAAUCAGCGUGGCUUUCUCCCUGACCCGAAAGGGUUGGGAAACCCGUUGAAUCUCCUUCGUGAUAGGGAUUGGGGCUUGAAAUUGUUCCCCAUGAACGAGGAAUUCCCAGUAAGCGCGAGUCAUAAGCUCGCGUUGAUUACGUCCCUGCCCUUUGUACACACCGCCCGUCGCUACUACCGAUUGAACGGUUUAGUGAGGGCCUCGGAUUGGUCUCGGCCCGCUCUUUACCGGGCGGCGCCGUUGGUCGAGAAGACGCUCGAACUUGAUCGUUUAGAGGAAGUAAAAGUCUUAACA